UUUAAAAUGAAAACUUUGAAU
rnacentral:piRNA from 1 species